GGUUGGUUCACAUAUUUGGGCCUCUCCGGUGGGGGCCUGGCCCCUCUGUUGGUGGCUGGGCCACUGCAUAGAGUAAAAAUACAUCAGGAUGGUGUGGUCGGGCGUGGCGGUGGGUCACGGGGGGGUUUUGCUGGGGUCUCUCCUUGCGGGGUCUUUCCGGGCGGUGUCGGCCUGGUCGGGCGCGGGGGCGCUUCCUCCCCUUGGGUGUGGCUUGGUGCUUGUUUCGUCGGCUGGUGGCCUUGGGGGCGGGCCCCGCGGUGUGCGGGCCCGGGGCGGCCUGCCUCGCCGGUUUGGGGGGUGGGUGUGCUGGGGGUGUGCUGGUGUCCUCACCGGGGUUGGGGCGGGGUUGCUUGGUGCCUCGGAGCGAUGCUGUUUACUGGGGGGCGGCGCUAGCUGUUCCGGUGGUGGAGGUUGCUGUCGGCCGCCUGGUGGGUCUGUCCUGCCAUCUGCGGACUGGUGGGUGGGUCCGGGGCAUCUUUGGCUCGGGGCUGCGGUUCCGCACUUGAUGUGUGCCAUUGGGGUGCCUCCGUCCCCGCGGUGGGGAUCGCCGGUUGCUCGCGGGCCGGUGGGGGGCGCUGCUCCGUGGCUGGCGCUGCCCGGGGGGCGGCGGGCCCUGGGCUGCUGGCCUUGGGCUGUCCGGGGCUGUGCGGUCCUGCUGGGCUGUGGCCGGGUCCUGGGCGGGGGUGGGGGGUGCGUCCCGGGGUCCUUGGCUCCUUGGGGCUUUCUCGGGUGUGUAUGGGGGGGGCGAUGGUUGCCUCUUGGCUUGGGAUCUUGGGGGCGUUCGGGGGGCUGCUUGGCCGUGGGGUGGUCGCCGGGGGCCCCCGGAUUGCCCGCUCUUGCUGCUGGCCUGGCUGCUUCUUCGGGCCCGGGGGCGGCUCGUGGGUUUUGCAGUGGCGGUUCUUGGAAAUACAUUUGUCAUGGAUGCACUGGCCUUGGGCUGUGGGAUAACACUCAUACUGGGCUCAACCACAGACACGUUGUUCCCAAAUACCUGUUUUAUAGAAUUUCCACUCACUUCUUCCUCUGUUCACAGCCACCACCAUUAUUCCUAAGCCGCACACUGGUCACCAAACUGGCUUGAUAACUCAACAAUAAGCACAAUAUACACAACCACAAUUUCACAUCGCAUCACUUGAAACCUAUCGACUACUCCCCGCCCAUUCCAUUUCCUAUCUUGUAUCCCUCUUCCCUGUUAACUUCCCCACCCCCCUCCAACCCCUCACCUUGGUGUAACACUGCCCUCUCUUUUUUUACAUCCUCCCUUUAAUAAAGUAUUUCUUACCCUUCCCUAGGGAGGGCUGGUGAUGGUCACAGUUAUGCAAU
rnacentral:lncRNA from 1 species